AUCCUUUUGCAGAUCAUAAGCAGGGUGACUGCGUUUUCACAUUCAUGUGUGAGAUAUGCCUCCCUCAAACCUUGUUACGAGGUAGGCACAUUACCCAUGUGACA